rnacentral:rRNA from 1 species
AUUGAACGCUGGCGGCAGGCCUAACACAUGCAAGUCGAACGAGUGGCGGACGGGUGAGUAAUGUCUGGGGAACUGCCCGAUGGAGGGGGAUAACUACUGGAAACGGUAGCUAAUACCGCAUACCAUCGGAUGUGCCCAUAUGGGAUUAGCUAGUAGGUAGGGUAACGGCUAACCUAGGCGACGAUCCCUAGCUGGUCUGAGAGGAUGAUCAGCCACACUGGGACUGAGACACGGUCCAGACUCCUACGGGAGGCAGCAGUGGGGAAUAUUGCACAAUGGGCGCAAGCCUGAUGCAGCCAUGCCGCGUGUAUGAAGAAGGCCUUCGGGUUGUAAAGUACUUUCAGCCGGGAGGCGUUACCCGCAGAAGAAGCACCGGCUAACUCCGUGCCAGCAGCCGCGGUAAUUC